UUUAAAUUAAAUUUGAAAUAAAAAAAAUCUAAUCCCUAUUCAUACGCUUUAGAGUUGAGAUUUGGUGUAUCAUCUUCUUCAAUUAAGUUCAAAGUUGGUUUAUCAUCUUCUCCAAAUCAAAAUUUUCGAAGUUUUGAGUUCAAAAUCGUCGUAUGACCCUAUAGUCAUGACAAAUUCAAGUUCUAGCAAGAUAUCUUAUUUAAAGAAAAGACAUGCAUCAACUUCGAACGACCAAAAAAUCCCAAAGAAAAGGGGUAGAAAGGCGACACUUCUGAUUAUUUGACCAACACUAUCAACGAUAUUUACAUUUAGAAUUAAUUGGUUGUUAUUGGAGGCGUACAAAGACAGGGAAACGGGUGAACUGUUGGGUCCACAACAUUUCUUUGCAGUGGAAUAUGCUCAAGAUAUUAUGCAACAACAAAGCGAUAGCCUUUGCUUAGGCAGAAUACUUGCGUGAUGAAAUCCAAAUUCCAUCUGAUAGUUUUCAGAGUGAAUAUCUUCGCAACAGAUACGGAAUAUUGUUCUGGAAGUAUGGUAUGGACAAAGUCAAGGCUGGAUAUGUUAGUGAUAUCGACGAUCCUACAAGGCGAAGGAGUGGUUACACUACACAGGAGGAAUGUGGAUUGGUUAAUUUAAAGUAGUUAAGUUUCUAUUAUGUUGAAGUUAAAUAAAUUAGUAUUUUGUUUUAUAACUUUCCUUCCAGCACAAUAUUAAUAAGUAGUUAUUAAUUUGAAGAAUUAUUCUUGUGAAGAAAUGUAUUUCAAUUUCAAUUUUUGUCUCCAU